GUGAAUCAUCGAAUUUUUGAACGCAAAUUGCACUCCCUGGUAUUCCGGGGAGUAUGCCUGUUUGAGGGUCGUUAGAAUAAAAAAUCGAGGCGUCGCUCUUUUUUUUUAAGGGGGAUCGUGGCGGAAUUGAGCCGUCUUUCAAAUGUUACUUCAUUUUUAAUUGGCUUAAAAUUCAUCCAUCCGUUACGAUUAAAUCUUAUUUAAUAUCAAUUUUGAUUAAUAACUCAUGAUUACGUACCAUCUCAUGUA
rnacentral:misc_RNA from 1 species